UACGGGGGGAGCAAGCGUUGUUCGGAUUUACUGGGCGUAAAGGGCGCGUAGGCGGCGUGACAAGUCACUUGUGAAAUCUCCGGGCUUAACCCGGAGCGGCCAAGUGAUACUGUCGUGCUAGAGUGCGGAAGGGGCUACUGGAAUUCUCGGUGUAGCGGUGAAAUGCGUAGAUAUCGAGAGGAACACCUGCGGCGAAGGCGGGUUGCUGGGCUGACACUGACGCUGAUGUGCGAAAGCUAGGGGAGCGAACGGG
rnacentral:rRNA from 1 species